ensembl:processed_transcript
GCUCCCACUUCAAGGAACUUUUUGUCUUCCAGAACCUUCCACUUCCAAUGGCUUUGGGUUUGAUCCCCACCACCAGGAGUUAUUUAAGUACAACGGCUUUUGAGUACUCACAGACUUGUGUAGAAAUUUACCACAAGCCAACUGGAGAGCACAGGGGUUCGUUCAUCCAUGUUGUAGCACGUAUCUGAAUUUCUUUUGAUGGCUGAUAUUUUGUUGUGUGAUAUACUGCGUGUAGGUCAGCCGUUGGUGAGUUCAUGGGCAUCCGAGUUGUUCCCAUCCUUUGACGACGGUUACCCCCCCCCAAGGAAUACAUCCCCCAUCGAGAGCAUGAAGAAGCGACUCUUCUCCUGGUAGAGGGGGGCAACUGUGCCCAGCCCCGAAGAGCACUCUUGGAGACUGCUGGGGACGUGGAAUAGCCAGGACCAGAGCAGGGAGGUACAGGCAAACUCAAGUGGAGAUGGGGGAGAUGGGAGAAGGGAGUAGACAUGGCUCCUCCCUGCCGGACCUCCAGCUCCCCCCACCUCAAUCGGAUAAGGUCCUGUCUAGCAUCAUCUGGAAAUUUGAUGCCCUCCGCUCGGCUGCACAGGCAGGUCCUCUGCUGCCCUCAGAAAUCCUUGCUCUGAGCGAACGCCUGCCACUUCUUCACCUUCUGGGACAAAGUCUCUUAGGAAGCAGAAAGGAG